rnacentral:rRNA from 1 species
UACAGAGGGUGCUAGCGUUGUUCGGAAUCAUUGGGCGUAAAGGGCGUGUAGGCGGUUUGUUAAGUCAUGUGUGAAAUCCCUCGGCUCAACCGGGGAACGACGCAUGAAACUGGCAAGCUAGAGUACCAAAGAGGGGGGUGGAAUUCCCGGUGUAGCGGUGAAAUGCGUAGAGAUCGGGAGGGACAUCAGUGGCGAAGGCGGCCAUCUGGGACAACACUGACGCUGAAGCACGAAAGCGUGGGGAGCAAACAGG